GUGCGGGGCGUGAAGAGUGGCGAACGGUGGAGGAACACGUGGGCAUUCUGCCCUGCAGUCGGGGAUAACUCCGGGGAACGGGAGGUAAUACCGGAUACGACUCUCCAGGGGAUCCUGGAGGGUGGAAAGCUCCGGCGGUGCAGGAUGAGCCCGCGGCCUAUCAGCUGGUUGGUGGGGUAACGGCCCACCAAGGCGACGACGGGUAGCCGGCCUGAGAGGGCGACCGGCCACACUGGGACUGAGACACGGCCCAGACUCCUACGGGAGGCAGCAGUGGGGAAUAUUGCACAAUGGGCGCAAGCCUGAUGCAGCGACGCCGCGUGAGGGAUGACGGCCUUCGGGUUGUAAACCUCUUUCAGCAGGGAAGAAGCGCAAGUGACGGUACCUGCAGAAGAAGCACCGGCUAACUACGUGCCAGCAGCCGCGGUAAUACGUAGGGUGCGAGCGUUGUCCGGAAUUAUUGGGCGUAAAGAGCUCGUAGGCGGCCUGUCGCGUCGGAUGUGAAAGCCCGGGGCUUAACCCCGGGUCUGCAUUCGAUACGGGCAGGCUAGAGUUCGGUAGGGGAGAUCGGAAUUCCUGGUGUAGCGGUGAAAUGCGCAGAUAUCAGGAGGAACACCGGUGGCGAAGGCGGAUCUCUGGGCCGAUACUGACGCUGAGGAGCGAAAGCGUGGGGAGCGAACAGGAUUAGAUACCCUGGUAGUCCACGCCGUAAACGUUGGGCACUAGGUGUGGGCGGCAUUCCACGUCGUCCGUGCCGCAGCUAACGCAUUAAGUGCCCCGCCUGGGGAGUACGGCCGCAAGGCUAAAACU
rnacentral:rRNA from 1 species